ACCUAGCCCAGAUGUAAACGGCAUCCUUUUUAUCUCGUUUAUUUGACGAGAUAAAAAGAUACAGUGCACAGCUGGAAAAGCU
rnacentral:sRNA from 1 species